CUUGCGCGUCUGUGAAAAGCAAGAGAGCUGCCCCAGGCGAUAUCGGGGCGUGGGCCGCUUGGGAGGCGGUGCUGAGGAAGCAGCCGUUGUUGUGCGCAGAGACAAGAGGCUGCACCAGGGCAAGGGAGAAGCGUUCCAGGAGGUGGGCUCCGGAAGCGAAGCGUCAGGGCUCAUCGCUUCUCGGCCUUUUGGCUAAGAUCAAGUGUAGUAUCUGUUCUUAUCAGUUUAAUAUCUGAUAGGUCCUCUAUAAGGGGACGACGUAUUAAACGGAUUUUUAGCACCGGGAGCUGAAAACGGGGCUCGCUCCGCUCACUCCACGCAUCGACCCGGCACUGCAGCGCCGCCGGGAACGGU